rnacentral:rRNA from 2 species
CCUUGAAAUACCACCCUUUAAUGUUUGAUGUUCUAACGUGGACCCGUGAUCCGGGUUGCGGACAGUGUCUGGUGGGUAGUUUGACUGGGGCGGUCUCCUCCUAAAGAGUAACGGAGGAGCACGAAGGUUGGCUAAUCCUGGUCGGACAUCAGGAGGUUAGUGCAAUGGCAUAAGCCAGCUUGACUGCGAGCGUGACGGCGCGAGCAGGUGCGAAAGCAGGUCAUAGUGAUCCGGUGGUUCUGAAUGGAAGGGCCAUCGCUCAACGGAUAAAAGGUACUCCGGGGAUAACAGGCUGAUACCGCCCAAGAGUUCAUAUCGACGGCGGUGUUUGGCACCUCGAUGUCGGCUCAUCACAUCCUGGGGCUGAAGUAGGUCCCAAGGGUAUGGCUGUUCGCCAUUUAAAGUGGUACGCGAGCUGGGUUUAGAACGUCGUGAGACAGUUCGGUCCCUAUCUGCCGUGGGCGCUGGAGAACUGAGGGGGGCUGCUCCUAGUACGAGAGGACCGGAGUGGACGCAUCACUGGUGUUCGGGUUGUCAUGCCAAUGGCACUGCCCGGUAGCUAAAUGCGGAAGAGAUAAGUGCUGAAAGCAUCUAAGCACGAAACUUGCCCCGAGAUGAGUUCUCCCUGAGACUUUAGGUCUCCUGAAGGAACGUUGAAGACGACGACGUUGAUAGGCCGGGUGUGUAAGCGCAGCGAUGCGUUGAGCUAACCGGUACUAAUGAACCGUGAGGCUUAACCUUACAACGCCGAAG